rnacentral:rRNA from 1 species
AUUGAACGCUGGCGGCAGGCCUAACACAUGCAAGUCGAACGAGUGGCGGACGGGUGAGUAAUGUCUGGGAAACUGCCCGAUGGAGGGGGAUAACUACUGGAAACGGUAGCUAAUACCGCAUACCAUCGGAUGUGCCCAGAUGGGAUUAGCUAGUAGGUGGGGUAAAGGCUCACCUAGGCGACGAUCCCUAGCUGGUCUGCGAGGAUGACCGGCCACACUGGACCGGAGCAAGUGUCCAGACUCCAACGGGAGGCAGCAGUGGGGAAUAUUGCACAAGGGGCGCAAGCCUGAUGCAGCCAGGCCGCGUGGAUGAAGAAGGCCUUCGGGUUGUAAAGUACUUUCAGCGGGGAGGCGUUACCCGCAGAAGAAGCACCGGCUAACUCCGUGCCAGCAGCCGCGGUAAUUC